ensembl:lncRNA
UUGCUAUAUUAGGAAUGGAUAAUAGCAGCAGACUUGCAGUCUUGUUUGCAGUCAUCAUAGUGGUGGCACACAUAGCAAUGGGAGCCAUUGGCCAAAACAACAUCAAAACAGCCUUGAAUACAACAGCCUUGAACACAACUUUAUCACUCGUGGUACCGGUUGUGGACGUUUCUGCCACCCUUCACUCAGUAAACAUUUCAGGAGUGGGUUGUGGAACCACACAGUUCUGUGCCUCUCAGCCAGCAAACUGUGACCCAGCUGUGUCUGGUUCCUGUUUCUUCAUGUCAGCCCUGCAGACCUCGGGACAGACUUUCUUCUUUCAGCUUCGAGGACAAUCAAGUGGUUACAUUGGAUUAGGGUUGUCCACAGGCUCCAAACAGAAAGGCAAUAUCGCCAUCUACGUGUGUGCAAACAACAAAAGCAACUUGAAUUUCUUCACCACACUUAAAGUGAAAGGAGUUCUGACUCUGACUAAUACGAUGCCUUCUAACUUGCUUAUGGGCUCAGUCAGUGGUCAGACCAUCCAGUGCAUCUUCUCUGCUACAGUCCCCAAUGCUACUUCCACCAAGAGCAGCAGUACCUCCUUUUUCAUUUCCAUCUACAACGGGACCGUGUCUAAUGGAGUCCCAAGCACUCCCAAGGCUGUAUUGUUAAGGACUUUGGCCGUGGACUUGGCAAACCCCAAUGCAACUGUGACCAAAACGGUGACCAACCCCAGCACUACUGUGACCAAAACGGUGACCAACCCCAGCACUACUGUGACCAAAACGGUGA